GCAUGGUAGUGGGUUUCUGGAGGGCCCUUCCCUGCGGGCCUCUCGUAGUGUACCCGUGCAGAGUAAACUGCAGCCUCCAACCAUUGCCCAGCCUCAUCUGUGGGCUCUGAGCACUGAAGGGGGUUGUGAAAAA